rnacentral:rRNA from 1 species
AGGCGAUGGCGGUAUGCUUAACACAUGCAAGUUGAACGAAGAUAAUAAUUCAUUGAAUUAUAAUACUUAGUAGCGGACGGGUGAGUAACGCGUAAGAAUCUACCUUUAGGAAAAGGAUAACAACUGGAAACGGUUGCUAAUACUUAUAUGCUGAGAAGUUAAAUAGGUUACUGCCUAAAGAUGAGCUUGCGUCUGAUUAGCUAGUUGGUAAGGUAAAGGCUUACCAAGGCGAUUAUCAGUAGUUGGUCUGAGAGGAUGAUCAGCCACACUGGGACUGAGACACGGCCCAGACUCCUACGGGAGGCAGCAGUGAGGAAUUUUUCACAAUGGGCGAAAGCCUGACGAAGCAAUACCGCGUGAAGGAUGAAGGCCUGCGGGUUGUAAACUUCUUUUAUUAGAGAAGAUAAUGACGGUAUCUAAUGAAUAAGCAUCGGCUAAAUAUGUGCCAGCAGCCGCGGUAAUACAUAUGAUGCAAGCGUUAUCCGGAAUGAUUGGGCGUAAAGCGUCUGUAGGUUGUUUAAAAAGUCAAUUGUCAAAAACUAAAGCUCAACUUUAGGCAGGCAGUUGAAACUUUUAGACUAGAGUAUGGCAGAGGUAGAGGGAAUUACUGGUGUAACGGUGAAAUGUGCAGAUAUCAGUAAGACACCAACGGCGAAAGCACUCUACUGGACCAAAACUGACACUCAGAGACGAAAGCUAGGGGAGCGAAUAGGAUUAGAUACCCUAGUAGUCCUAGCUGUAAACGAUGGAAACUAAAUAUUGCGUUUUUUUAAUGCAGUAUUGUAGCUAACGCGUUAAGUUUCCCGCCUGGGGAGUAUGCUCGCAAGAGUGAAACUCAAAGGAAUUGACGG